CAGAGAUAUGAACUUAGUGACCAGAUACCUGAGAGAGAAUGUCUAUAUCUAUCGCUUCAUUGAUCUCUUGUCUCCAGCUCUGAGGAGCCAAGCUACAAAGUACAUCUCUUGCUUCUCUCAUCAGAUCAACAACACGGCUGUAUCCAGGUUCAUCCUUUCUCAUGGAUUCCAUGACACUAUCCCAGAAAGCCUUCUCCAUUGUCUCUCUGACUUUGUCCUGUAAAGACAUCAGAGCAGAAGAAUCAACUAAAAUUUCUAAAGUCUCUUCUAGUUUCAGGAGCCUAACCAAACUGUGCUCCGGGUUCAGUAAAUCAAGAUGUAAGAAAUGCAUCUACCUCAAUACUACUAUAAUAUUUAUCAGCAACUUUUGGAGACUCAGCAAAUUCAAGAUGCUGCUUGUAACCAGGUUCAUCCUUUCUCAUGGAUUCCAUGACACUAUCCCAGAAAGCCUUCUCCAUUGUCUCUCUAACUUUGUCCUGUAAAGGUCAUCAGAGCAGAAGAAUCAACUAAAAUUUCAAAAGUCUCUUCUAGUUUCAGGAGCCUAACCAAACUGUGCUCCGGGUUCAGUAAAUCACGAUGUAAGAAAUGCACCUAC
rnacentral:lncRNA from 1 species